rnacentral:rRNA from 1 species
CCUACGGGAGGCAGCAGUGAGGAAUAUUGGUCAAUGGGCGCGAGCCUGAACCAGCCAAGUAGCGUGAAGGAUGACUGCCCUACGGGUUGUAAACUUCUUUUAUAAAGGAAUAAAGUGAGUCACGUGUGCCUUUUUGUAUGUACUUUAUGAAUAAGGAUCGGCUAACUCCGUGCCAGCAGCCGCGGUAAUACGGAGGAUCCGAGCGUUACCCGGAUUGAUUGGGUUUAAAGGGAGCGUAGAUGGGUUGUUAAGUCAGUUGUGAAAGUCUGCGGCUCAACCGUAAAAUUGCAAUUGAUACUGGCAGCCUUGAGUGCAGGUGAGGUAGGCGGAAUUCGUGGUGUAGCGGUGAAAUGCUUAGAUAUCACGAAGAACUCCGAUUGCGAAGGCAGCUUACUAGACUGCCACUGACAUUGAGGCUCGAAAGUGUGGGUAGCAAACAGGAUUAGAUACCCCUGUAGUC